GUGAGUGCGCGCGGUGGUUCUGAUUGCGUAUUGUGAACUCCACGUGUUUGGGAACCGCUGUUAGCCAGUAGAGGAGUGUAUAUAGUUGCAGAGAGGAUACCACUGUUGAGUUGUUUAUUGAGGUUAAGGUAUUCUUACCUGAUCAGUGGUUUCAAGCUAGCUUUACCUACGUAACGGCAUUGCACCAGCAAGAACGAUGAUGGGAAUUCUUCCCAUGUCUGGAUCUAAGGUAAGCCCCGCGAUUCGCUAGAGGUGCGCAUGUGACUAUGAAGCGGCCGGCGGUGGAGGACUUCUACCCGGGUGUGCAGCCGCAGACGCUGGCGCUCAUCGGUCCCGACCUGGCCGGACUGUACCACUACACCACGCUGCUGCAGGUCAGUGGGGGAGG